AAACCACAUAAAAUUAUAUGGGCUUAAAAUGGACUAUGAACACAACCAGGCAAACAAAAAACAGGCAAUAGUUUUGUCCUUACCUUCAUUCCUCAGCAGCAAAAUUUCUAUUCCAUUGCCAAACACAACUUACAGAACAAAUCAGUACAUUACUGAUAUAGUUGGUGAGAUGUUGUCAAGCUUAGUGACAGAAGAAAAACAUCACAAUGUACCAUCCCUUCAGCUAGUGACCUCUUGGAAUUAAGCAUAGAUGCUUUCCAAAACAAGAAGUGAGAUGUUGUCAAGCCUAGUGAUAGAAGAAAAACAUCACAAUGUACCGUCCCUUCAGAUAGUCAGGCCCGAGCCCAUGGGGGUGCAACCUGUGCGCCGGCACAGGGCCCCCAGUUUUUAGGGGCCUCAGAUUUUGUACGCACGGCGAGGCAAAGUCCAAUUGGCUGGGUCUUUUAUCCUUUGUACACGGGCCUCCUUCCAUCUUUCCUAUGGGUGAAACAGGCCCCGAUUGGGACGUGCGCCUCAUCCAGCGAUCGAUCUGCCUUCUCUCCAAAAAAGCGAUCGAUCUGUCUAAGAAAAAUAAAAUCCAGCGAUCCAUUGAGACGAACAAAGCCAAUCUAUUGAUUUUCUCCUCCGGCGGCCGAGUUAAGCUAAAUUGCAGGUUAUAUCCAUUCUUCGGUCUCCUCCUUACAUCAGGAGAGCAAGACCGCGAACGGCAGCGCGGCAGGGAGGACAUGAAGGAAUGGAAGGUGCAAGCCAUCUUCCGAUCUCCAAUUUCUUAAGCAUCGUCGCUUUGAUAACCGGCGAUCACGUGAGGCCUUGAUUGUGAGUUGCAAUUUACGUCCGCUAUUUAGUUCUGCAAAAUUCUUCUAGCUAUUUUUUUUUUUCAUCUAUUAGGCGUCUCGUAUUGCAAGAUCCAAGUCAUGUCUUUGAUUAGAAAACAUGAAUCUAGUUACCAAAAGCGUAGAAAGAAACAAAAAAAAUCAAAGAUUUAGUGAGGUAAGGCCCAUUUUCGAGUUUGGCACAGGGCCUCGGAUUUUGCCGGCUUGGUCCUGCAGAUAGUGACCUCUUGGAGUUAAGCAUAGAUGAUUUCCAA
rnacentral:lncRNA from 1 species